rnacentral:lncRNA from 1 species
ACUGAGUCAUCCAGGCACCCUUAUCAGUGUGUUUGUUAAACAAUAUAUAGAGCUAUUUCUUGCUGAAAAUUUUUUCUUUAAUUAUUUAAAAGAUUUUUAACAUUUUUGCAUUCUCAUUAUAAAAAUAUGCUCAAGAAAAGAGCUGAAUUAUACAAAAAAUUUAAAAAGCAUAGUGAGGAGAAUACAUCAAUUUUAGAGUAGAUGCUGUCAGGUUUUUCUUCAGGGGGCACUUAGUGAAUAUAUUCUCAUACUCUAUCUACUUUUCUAUAGUCUGAUUCUUCUAUAUUCCUCUGCUAAACAUUCCCUGAUACUUAGAGUGUACUGAUUUUCUGGAUGACAAUUUUAAGUGGAAAUCAGCAAUCAGUUAAAGAGAAAUUACCUAAAGUUAUGCCUUUAUUAUAAAAAACAAAUUAGUAUUAACUUAUGACCUUAGAAAGAAAUAUAUUUUUCACCAUUGUUAUUACUUAAAGCACCAAGAAUAGGGGUAUUCAUUCUCACUAUCAACAUUCAUGUGUGCAAGAUUCUCUUCAGUUCUGUUGAAUUAAUAUCUUGGGGAAGGAACUAAUUUCCAUGAGUUUAGAACUUCUGCUGUUGCCGGAAUACAAGUAUGUGCAGACAAAUAUCAAAGCAAGUGUUGAAAGGACAAAGAACCCACUUAAUGGAGAUCCUACUGGCUAGUGGCGGUAAUUUGAAGACUAAAUAAAAUUACUCAUUAUUUUUGUUUUGAUUAAAAAAAGAAAAAUCUAUGAAAGUUCAUAGUGAUGUUCAAAAAAAGGUUAAUAUGAGUUAUAUUAUAGGUAGUCGUAAUAUAAAAGAAGUAUAAAGACAAUAAAGCAUAUUUAAUUGUUACUGAUUUUUUUUAAAGAUUUUAUUUAUUUAUUCAUGAGAGACACGGGGGGGUGGGGGGCAGAGACACAGGCAGAGGGAGAAGCAGGCUCCAUGCAGGGAGCCUGACAUGGGACUCGAUCCCCAGUCUCCAGGAUCACACCCUGGGCUGCAGGCAGCGCUAAACAGCUGCACCACCGGGGCUGCCCAAUUGUUACUGAUUUUAAUAAAGAGGGAAGUGCUAAAAUAUAUGUACACACAUGUUUUCUUCUAGCUUUUACUUAGAUGCCUGUUGAUAAAAUAUUGGAGUGGUCAUGAUACUACUGAAAACAUAGAGAAUGCUGAAUAAAAGUAACAGGAAGUACAUCAAACACUCUUGGGGAGAAACAAAACACGGUGGCCUACCAAGAACAGACAAGACUGGUCAGCUCUAGGCUUCACACCUAAUAAGCCAGUAGAAAAGGAUUCACGAGUGCAUUCAUUCUAGGUUGACACAUUAAUAUCAACUAAGGAGAAAUAACUACUCAGAUUCACCUUUAUUGCUUGGGAGAUGAGACCUCCAGAUGAUCCUCAAUUUCUAGCAAGCUGUUUAUAGGAAUAUAUGUUUUUGAUAAUAUUAAGUAAAGGGUAAUACUUAAUAAUGAACAUGGUUCAGAUAAUGUCACCAAGUGUAUUUUUAUAUAUAAAAAUAUAUAAUUGGGGGAUGCCCUAGGGACUUAAUGAAUUAAGUAUCCAACUCUUGAUUUUGGCCUCAGUCAUGACCUUAGGGUCAUGAGAUCCAGAUCCAAAUCCAUGCUCAACAGGAAGUCUGCUUGAGAUUCUCUCUCUCCCUCUCUCUGCCCCUCCUCCCCCGACUCAUGUAUGUGUGUGUACAUGCAUGUAUGCACUAUCUCUAAAAUAAAUAAAUAAUCAUUAAGAAUAAAUAAAUAAAAAUACAUAAAUUUUGGAGACAGCAAUUGAAAAAAUUAUGCUUUUGUGAAGGCAGUUUUGUCUUGAAACAAAAAACUAAUGACUAAAAAAACAAUAUUAGCCUGCUGAUUAGUAGAUCAGAUUUGAUUCACCUUGAGAAGAGAUUACUAUUUAAUACAUGAGCUGUGUAUUAAUAUAUAUAUAAUCCUCGAAAAUAUAAAUGAGUAUAGAAAUAAUGAUAAAUUAAGUCAAAGUCAUGAUCUAUUAAGACAUGAGUAGAAAUUUAAGUAUAAAGGUGUAUGUUUUAAAGUAUUUGAGAUGUUCUAAAAAGUCAGCCAUACAAAAUAUAGAAUUGAAAUGAACAAUUUAAGAGGAAUUAAUCAUCUCAUAAAGAAAACUUCAUUUUUAAAGUUUGGCUUUUUGAUUUAUAUGACUUAAAUAAUGAUUUAAAUAAGUGGAGCAUUAGACAAAGUGCAGAUAGUAAUGAUGUCUCCUAUUCAUGCACAAAGCCCCUCAGAUACUAAGGCAUCCACUAACACAGUGUCUCCACUCUGCCAUAUCCCUAUUAGCAUUACACUUUCUAAAAUUGCCUCAAGUCUCCAAGACUAAAAUAAAUAAAAUGUCUUUAAGGAAACUUCACCCCAUGGGUAAGAAUGUGAAUACCAUAGUGGUAAUUUGGGUUGUGAGAAGAGGUUUAUAACAUUAUAUAAACUCUUCACCUUUAUUCAUUAAGGAAAAUAAAAUGCCUUAUAUUUAUAUACAACUAAAUGUGUACAUUAUCAUAGGCUAGAAUAUACUGUUGUAACAAGCCUAAAAUCUCAACAGUUUAAAACCAUAAAUGUCUAUUUUUGUCUACUGUGAGUGGACUGGGGGACAUUGAUGCAUGUUGUCAUGGUCCUGACUCCAGAGGCUGGCUAAUGGAAUGGCUACUAUCUGAAUAUUGCUGGCAGCUGUGGAGAAAGGGAAAGAGUGAGCUUUAGAGAAUCUCAUAUCAGCACUUAAAUCCUUGGCCUAGAAGGGAUACACAUUACUCCCCUUCAUCACUCAUUGGCUAGAAAUGAUUACAUGACCCAUUUCAAUACAGGAAGUUUCAGGAAGUGCAGGCCUACUAUGUCCCCAGAUCAUUGAAAACCAGAGAUAUUUGAUGAAUUUUGUUUUUUGCUGGAACUCUCAUGAAUAAAAUAAGACUAUAAAACCACCUAUGUCUGAAAAAAGUGACACAAAGUUCAAAGAUAAGGGUUUGUUAAAAAAUACAUAAAUAAAACUAUACAUAAAUAAAAAUAUAUAUUUCCCCCUGCUGGUGUCUGAGGAUGACUCGUGCUCCCUGCUGGUGUGGGAUUCAACACUACUCUACUGAACUUCCGUGUCUCAGCACCAGCCAGCUCCACCUUUUCUCACUAAAAUGUGCACCCUGCAUCUUUGAAAUGGUUUUGCUUCUUUGCUCAAGUAAAUUCAAGAGAGAGCUUUCUUUCUGGACUGCCAACACUUCGUCCACAUCCCUGCUCUACCUACCCCUAGAAUCUCUUGCCCUCAAAACCCACACUCACGCUUUAGUAUCAUUUCCUUGUCAGGUUUAGCCCAGACUCCAGUAGAAUCAUUUCUCUGUCAACCCCAACAAUGAUUUUUUUUCUCUCUUUUUCUUUCCUUAAGGGCUCACCUUGAGAGGAAGUGUCUCCUUCAAUCUGUCUAAUGCUGACAGGUUAAUAACUGGAAUCUGACAAAUGCUGGAAGAGACAGACAUGCUGCCCAAGGCUGGAAACACUUUCUUUUCUUGCCACUAACUCUUCCCUACCCCCACUCACCAGCUACCUCCACCCUUCUCAUCUGUGUGUAGUGUUAAAAAUGGUCUUACAAAUUUACUGCUACACACACUUUUGGGGGACACAUCUCAAAAAUGUCUACCAUUUCAGGAAAUGUAAUAAAAUCCUUUAGGGACAGCUAAUGAUCAUUUCUUCUGAAGUAUCUAGAACCCAGAUUUGUCCAUGUGUCCAUCAUUCUUUUUACCAGUUUUGUAGUGAAAUAUAUUCUUAUGGCCAACAUCACUCCUAUUUUUUUGCAAUUACAAUAAAAGGAAAGAGACUCCUAACUCUGGGAAAUAAACAAAAUGUUGCGGAAGGGGAGGUGGGUGGGGAGAGGGGGUAACUGCGUGAUGGGCACUGAGGAGGGUACUUGAUGGGAUGAGCAUUUGGUGUUAUACUAUAUGUUGUCAAAUUUAAUUUAACUUAAAAAAUGUAAAUAAAAUAAAAUAAAAGGAAAGGAAAUAUUCUGAAUGUAUCCUUUUAUGGUUAUCUUACCGCCAUCUACGUCCUUCUCUCCAUGUAGACUGUCACAGGCAAAAAUAUAUUUAGGUAUUGAAAUCGUUUAUGAAAUGUGUGAAAUAAUGGUGGGAGAUGAGGUAUAGAGAACAUACAAGAAACCUACAAAUGAUAUGUGAGAUAUGAUAUAUGGGUAUGUGUGUGUGUGUGUGUGUGUGUGUGUAUCAAAGAGCAACAUUUUAUAAACACAUAUAGCUACCCUCUGACAAAUGGUACUAGAAUGUAAACUCUAGGGCAGGGAUUGAUGUGUCUUGUUCCCUAAUAUAUCUCCAGGGCUUGAGAAAGUAUCUAGAACACAAUAAAUACACAAUAUUUUUUUAAUGAAUGGAUAUCAGAAUCAGACAUAUAAAUUAUCAUCAAUAUCAUCAAAACUAACUUGUUCAUGUUCUCCAAUAGUGAUUAUUAUGAGGUCUAGCUGGGAUGAAAGUUUGUAGAAGUCUUUGGAAAGACAUAGACAAGAAAGGAAGGUAGACUAAGGACAACCAGGUGUGAGAGUCACUACUGUCCACAACUCUUA